GGAUUUUGACUCAGUGGCAGAGCAUUUGACUCGCAAGUAAAAGGCACUGGGUUCAAUCCUCAGCACCA
rnacentral:tRNA from 1 species